GUUGAGGCACGAGUUUCUAUGGAUGGACCAUUGGGAAUUAAUAGGUUUGGUUUGGGGGUACGUGUGAAUGAGUUAGGAAUAUGGUUACGUGUACUUGGGGAUUUUUGAAGAUUAGGUGUGGUGAGGGGCUCGAUAUUUGGCAGCGGAAAAUAGUUGGGGAUAGAUAAGUUGGCACAUUUUGAGUGGUUAGUAAAGCAGUGUAUUCAGAAAGUCAUGUGAGGGUUGUAUAGGGGAACUUAAGGGGGUAGUUGAGUUAUGUUUUGUGCUAGAGUUUGGGUUUGGGGGAGGGGAAGAUAUUGGUCCUAUGAAAGGGCGAAAUAGUGAAACAUGAAACAUUAGGUGGAUGCGAGAUGAGGGAGGUAAUCGGAGUUCAUACGCAACAACGCCUAUACGGUGGCAGAUUUGGUACGAUCCCGAGUAGCGAGGGGCUAGUUUCAGACAUGGACGAUGUUCCACUGUCUGUUGGCGGUAUGGCUGGAGGCGGACCCAGACCUAGCCCUCUACGUUGAAGGUGCGGUCCGAUCGGUGUCGAUUAUCCUGGUCACACAUACGUUGGCGAGUUUUGCGGAGGUUAUGUUUAAGAACAUGCAAUACUAAGGUAUGUUGGUGUAGCGGUUCCGAGAUGGUGGUGCCAGCGCAAGGAGUAUGUAACAUAUCGAGGAUGGUGGAAGGUGGAUAACCGUAUAACUAAUGGAAGGGGAAGGUGCUGAUAGCCGAGUGAUGGAUCGUAUUGUGCCAUAACUUCGCGAGGUGGAGGUAUUAGUACCAUGUUUGGGGGUGUCCCCAGUGAAACAUCGUAGGUAUGCUUCUAGCCCUUUGUUUAAAACCUCUGUUUGCCCAUCCGUUUGUGAGUGAUAGGUGGAGAUAAACUUUAAUGUUGUACCUUGGACUUUGAACAAUUGUCUCCAAAACGUGCUAACAAAGAAGGGAUCGCGAUCCGAGACAAUGGUUUUUGACAUUUUGUGAAGGUGAAAGAUUUCCACCGCGAAGCGCUUAGCGAGUUGUUGCGCCGUGAAGUGUGUAAGGAGAGCCAGAAAAUGGGUGUAUUUGGUGAGACAUACACAGAUGACCCAAACCACUGUUUGACCCGCAGAUGAAGGUACAUGAGUUAUGAAAUCCAUAGAUAAAUCUUCCCAUACUUGUGCCGGUGUUAGGAGAGGUUGGAGUAACCUUUGAAUUUUUUUUGGCAGGUAUUUAUUUCUUUGACAAGUGAUGCAUUGCUAGAGGAAUUGUUUCACAUGGCCAAUAUAAGGAGGCAACGACUCGAGCGAGGGUAGGCUUGAGAUUGGAAUGACCAUUUGUUGGGGACUCAUGCAUUUCGUGAAGGAUCUUUUCUCUAAAAUUAUUGGACGUUGGGAGGAACAAUUGGUGUCGAAAAAACAACAUCCCAUUCUGAUUAACAACAAAUUGGGCUGUUGUUGAUCGUGAGUGCAAGAUUGGAUUAACUGUGCACCUUCUGAGGUUUUGAAGAACUACUGUAACUCUUGAAAAAACAAGGGAAUCAACAAAGACAAUGUAAGAAGUAAUGAAGGGGUUGGUGUUCCUUGGCGGGACAAAGCAUCAACAACUACAUUUUGUUUUUCAGGUCGAUAUAAAAUUUGAAAAUCAUACCCUUGUAAUUUUGCUGUCCAUUUCUGUUGUUUUGACGUUUGAAUUGUCUGUGAAAGUAAUGUAUGCAAACUUUUUUGAUUUGUGAAUAUUUUGAAGUGUUGGCCUAACAAGUACUGAUGCCAUUUCUUUACUGCUUCUGUUAUUGCAUACAUCUCCCUCACAUACAUGUAUGACGCUUGGAGUCGUGAAUAUAUCUUCUUGCUGAAAAAUGAAAGUGGGUGGUUUUUUGGCUGAGCACUGCCCCCACGGCCACUGACGAUGCAUCUGUUUCCACUACAAAGGGCUGAUUGAAAUUUGGAAGGUGUAGUGUAGGAACCUUUGCAAUUUGUAAUUUUAAUUCAGUGAAAGCUUGAUGAGUUGUCAUAGGCCACAUAAAUUUCUGAUUAUGUAAUAAGUCGGUGAGAGGAGCGACGAGAGUAGCGUAGUAACGAACAAAUUUCCUGUAAAAGUCGGUGAGACCGAGAAAGCCCCUUAGUUCCAUGAGUAACACCAUUAGGAGCAGGGGCAGGGGCAACACCAUUAGGAGAAAUGAUACGACCUAAGUAAUUAACUUGAGUAGUUGUAAAACUGUACUUAGGGUGUGUUUGGAUUGGGGAGUGGAUUUGAGAGAGUGGAUUUGUAGUGAUUUAAGAGGAAAGUGUGAAGAAAGUGAGGUUGUUUGGAUUAAGGUAUGUUAGAGUGGAUUUGUGAAGAGAGUUUAUUGAAGUUUGUGAGUGAUGUGAUGGUUGUAAGAGUAUUUUGAAUUAUUUUUAAUAGUGUGAAUUACAAAAUUAUAAAUUUACCCUUGUGUAUAAAAAAGAAAAAAAAAUAAUAAUUAAUUUUGUAUAUAUUUUAGUUGAUUAAAAUAAUAUAAAAUUACAAUUAUAAAUAAAAAAUAAAAAAAUGUAAAAUUAAAAUAAAGAAAUAAAAUUAAAAAUUUAAAUAAAAU
rnacentral:lncRNA from 1 species